rnacentral:misc_RNA from 1 species
GAUGAAGAACGCAGCGAAAUGCGAUAAGUAGUGUGAAUUGCAGAAUUCCGUGAAUCAUCGAAUCUUUGAACGCACAUUGCGCCUUCUGGUAUUCCGGAAGGCAUGCCUGUUCGAGAGUCAUUAACAACCGUUUCGAUCCCUUUCUUUCAGAAAUUACAAAGAGUAAAAGGGUUUGGUUAUGGUGGAGGAGGGAAAGGGAGCGUUUAGCCUGUAAAAAAAGAGGCUGUGUUCCGCCUCCCCCCCAAAAUUGUACAGGCGGUCGUGUGCGCCCACGCAUCGAGGUGUUGUAAAAGCUGCCACGGCACUUUUCACCUGUGCAGUGCGAGAUUGGCCAGCCGGUUUAAAAACCCCUCCAAACAAUCAAAGGUUGACCUCGGAUCAGGUAGGGAUACCCGCUGAACUUAAGCAUAUCAAUAAGCGGAGGA